AUAAGAACCGGUAAUUACUGACAUCCAUUUUUCUGGAAUACUAUCUCUUACAGUAAUUAUUGUAUGGUACAAUUUGUUUUGAUGUUUUAUUAGAUGGCAGCCUCAUAACCGGGGAGUGAUUAUGAAUUUCACUCGAGAAUCAUCCAAGCUGAAUAAGAGUUUUUCUCAUAUUUUAUCUCUAUUUGCCUUUGACAAUGCGAUAGCUUUUUUAUAUACACAUUUAUAAUGUUGUAAACAGAAGCUCAUUUUAUGACCAGCUUUCUAGUUGAAUAAAACGCUUAGUGAGGUGGAUUUCCAAAAAUUCGAGUUCAGUCGUGGAGAGGAAACCAAUUAACAACAACACAAUUUUUCAACACACCGAGUGACGGAGGAUUAUCACCCCCAAUUUCGAUAAAGAUGUAACUGAAAUUCCUGACAAUGCUUCAGAAGGCUACAUAUCAUUAUUACUAUAUGAUGUCACUGAGCGACUUUUGGUCCAUUUGGCAAUGAUACUACUGCUACUGAACGCAAUGUUUGACGUUGGUUACAAAAUUUCGUUCUGGAGACUUUAGCUUCGAUGUUGAGUCCUGAAGUGGUGCACUUACAGUAAUCCAGGACGAGGAUUUCAUUGCCCUGCCGCAGUUGCAGUUGA